rnacentral:rRNA from 1 species
AGAGUUUGAUCAUGGCUCAGAACGAACGCUGGCGGCAGGCCUCAAACAUGCAAGUCUAGGGGGCGUAGCAAUACGUCACCGGCGGACGGGUGCGUAACACGUGGGAAUGUACCUAUUGGUUCGGAACAACGCAGGGAAACUUGCGCUAAUACCGGAUGUGCCCGAAAGGGGAAAGAUUUAUCGCCAAUAGAUCAGCCCGCGUAGGAUUAGCUAGUUGGUAGGGUAACGGCCUACCAAGGCAACGAUCCUUAGCUGUUCUGAGAGGAAGAUCAGCCACACUGGGACUGAGACACGGCCCAGACUCCUACGGGAGGCAGCAGUUGGGAAUCUUGGACAAUGGGGGAAACCCUGAUCCAGCCAUGCCGCGUGAGUGAUGAAGGCCUUAGGGUUGUAAAGCUCUUUUACCCGGGAAGAUAAUGACUGUACCGGGAGAAUAAGCUCCGGCUAACUUCGUGCCAGCAGCCGCGGUAAUACGAAGGGGGCUAGCGUUGUUCGGAAUUACUGGGCGUAAAGCGCGCGCAGGCGGCCAAACAAGUCAGGGGUGAAAGCCCAGAGCUCAACUCUGGAACUGCCUUUGAAACUUUUUGGCUAGAGGACGGGAGAGGUGAGUGGAAUUCCCAGUGUAGAGGUGAAAUUCGUAGAUAUUGGGAAGAACACCGGUGGCGAAGGCGGCUCACUGGCCCGUUUCUGACGCUCAGGCGCGACAGCGUGGGGAUCAAACAGGAUUAGAUACCCUAGUAGUCC